CACAUGCAAGUCGAACGGUAACAGAGGAGCUUGCUCCUGCUGACGAGUGGCGCACGGGUGAGUAAUGCAUAGGUAACGUGCCCCUUAGUCUGGGAUAGCCACUGGAAACGGUGAUUAAUACUGGAUACUCCUUCUUCCUUAAUGGAAGUUGGGAAAUUUUUUAGCUAAGGGAUCGGCCUAUGUUGUAUCAGGUAGUUGGUGAGGUAAUGGCUCACCAAGCCUAUGACACAUAGCGGGUCUGAGAGGAUGAUCCGCCACACUGGUACUGAGACACGGACCAGACUCCUACGGGAGGCAGCAGUGGGGAAUAUUGCACAAUGGACGAAAGUCUGAUGCAGCAACGCCGCGUGGAGGAUGACACAUUUCGGUGCGUAAACUCCUUUUAUAUGAGAAGAUAAUGACGGUAUCAUAUGAAUAAGCACCGGCUAACUCCGUGCCAGCAGCCGCGGUAAUACGGAGGGUGCAAGCGUUAUUCGGAAUCACUGGGCGUAAAGGGUGCGUAGGCGGUUUGAUAAGUCUGAUGUGAAAUCCUAUGGCUCAACCAUAGAACUGCAUUGGAAACUGUCAGACUAGAAUACUGAAGGGGCAGAUGGAAUUAGUGGUGUAGGGGUAAAAUCCGUAGAUAUCACUAGGAAUACCGAAAGCGAAAGCGAUCUGCUGGGAAGUUAUUGACGCUGAGGCACGAAAGCGUGGGGAGCAAACGGGAUUAGAUACCCCGGUAGUCCACGCCCUAAACGAUGAAUGCUAGUCGUCGGAAAGCUCGUCUUUUCGGUGAUGCAGUUAACACAUUAAGCAUUCCGCCUGGGGAGUACGGU
rnacentral:rRNA from 1 species